UACAGAGGUCUCAAGCGUUGUUUCGGAUUCAUUGGGCGUAAAGGGUGCGUAGGCGGCGCGGUAAGUCGGGGUGUGAAAAUCUCGGAGCUUAACUCCGAAAACUGCAUUCGAUACUGCCGUGCUUGAGGACUGGAGAGGAGACUGGAAAUUUUACGGUGUAGCGGUGAAAAUGCGUAGAUAUCGUAAAGGAAAGACCAGUGGCGAAAGGCGGGGUCUCUGGACAGUUCCUGACGUG
rnacentral:rRNA from 1 species